AGUGUGAGUUGGUGCGAUUAGG
rnacentral:miRNA from 1 species